GGUGUUCCAGUACGUGCGCCGGCCGGGCGGCCUGGCGCGCGUCAUCGACGGUCUGCUCCAGUUCUGGGGCCAGGACCGGCUGGACGAUGUCGAGCUGCCACGCCUGCAGGCGGCAGCAGAGUUGUUGGUCUCGCCUCAUCCCGAUUUCAAUAAUGAGGAAUAUUUUACACAUCUGGCUGCAGAGGUGCUCUCCCUGCUGCGGAUCCCCCGCGCGGAGGUGCGCGUCACCACACUGCGCGUGGCUGGCGCGCUCACCAACUGUCUGUGGGACUCGCCGGC